UUACUGUGUUUGGGGUAUCCUUUUUGCGGACUGCAGGUUCGUAGCUCUCGUUGUUUUUGGUGUCUGUCCCCAGUGGUUAAGGUUGGUUCAGUGGGUUGUGUGGGCUUCCUGGUGUAGGGGACUAGUGCCUGUGUUCUGGUGGAUGAGGCUGGGUCGUGUCUUUCUGGUGGGCAGGUCCACAUCUGGUGGUGUGUUUUGGGGUGUCUGUGGACUUAUUAUGAUUUUAGGCAGCCUCUCUGCUAAUGGUUGGGGUUGUGUUCCUGUCUUGCUAGUUGUUUGGCAUACGGUGUCCAGCACUGUAGCUUGCUGGUCGUUGAGUGAACCUGGGUGCUGGCGUUGAGAUGGAGAUCUCUGGGAGAUUUUCGCCAUUUUAUAUUAUGUGGAGCUGGGAGGUCUCUUGUGGACCAGUGUCCUGAAGUUGGCUCUCCCACCUCAGAGGCACAGCACUGACUCCUGGCUGCAGCACCAAGAGCCUUUCAUCCACACAGCUCAGAAUUGAAAGGGAGAAAAGGUAAAAAUAAAGGAAGAAAGAAAAGAAGAGGAUAAAAUAAAAUAAAAUGAAGUAAGGUAAAAUAAAAUAAGGUUAUUAAAAUAAAAAAUAAUUAUUAAGAAAAAAAAAUUUUUUUAAGAAAAAAAGAAACGGA